rnacentral:rRNA from 1 species
UAAGGAAUAUUGGACAAUGGAGGCAACUCUGAUCCAGCCAUGCCGCGUGAAGGAAUAAGGCCCUAUGGGUUGUAACCUUCUUUUAGACGGGACAAAACCCCUUUACGUGUAUAGGGUUGAUGGUACUGUCAGAAUAAGCAUCGGCUAACUUCGUGCCAGCAGCCGCGGUAAUACGAAGGAUGCAAGCGUUAUCCGGAAUUAUUGGGUUUAAAGGGUGCGUAGGCGGACUAAUAAGUCAGUGGUGAAAGCCUGCAGCUUAACUGCAGAAUUGCCAUUGAUACUGUUAGUCUUGAGUACAGUUGAGGUAGGCGGAAUGUGUCAUGUAGCGGUGAAAUGCUUAGAUAUGACACAGAACACCGAUUGCGAAGGCAGCUUGCUAAGCUGUAACUGACGCUGAGGCACGAAAGCGUGGGGAG